rnacentral:rRNA from 1 species
AUUGAACGCUGGCGGCAGGCCUAACACAUGCAAGUCGAGCGGAUGAAGGGAGCUUGCUCCUGGAUUCAGCGGCGGACGGGUGAGUAAUGCCUAGGAAUCUGCCUGGUAGUGGGGGAUAACGUCCGGAAACGGGCGCUAAUACCGCAUACGUCCUGAGGAAGAAAGUGGGGGAUCUUCGGACCCCACGCUAUCAGAUGAGCCUAGGUCGGAUUAGCUAGUUGGUGGGGUAAAGGCCUACCAAGGCGACGAUCCGUAACUGGUCUGAGAGGAUGAUCAGUCACACUGGAACUGAGACACGGUCCAGACUCCUACGGGAGGCAGCAGUGGGGAAUAUUGGACAAUGGGCGAAAGCCUGAUCCAGCCAUGCCGCGUGUGUGAAGAAGGUCUUCGGAUUGUAAAGCACUUUAAGUUGGGAGGAAGGGCAGUAAGUUAAUACCUUGCUGUUUUGACGUUACCAACAGAAUAAGCACCGGCUAACUUCGUG